rnacentral:rRNA from 1 species
UACGUAGGGUGCGAGCGUUAAUCGGAAUUACUGGGCGUAAAGCGAGUGUAGGCGGUUUGGUUAGUCGGAUGUGAAAGCCCCGGGCUCAACCCGGGAAGUGCAUUCGAUACUGCCAAGCUAGAGUAUCGGAGAGGUUGGUGGAAUUCUCGGUGUAGAGGUGAAAUUCGUAGAUAUCGAGAGGAACACCGGCGGCGAAGGCGGCCAACUGGACGAAUACUGACGCUGAGACUCGAAAGCGUGGGGAGCAAACAGG